rnacentral:rRNA from 1 species
ANACGGGUGAGUAAUGUAUAGGAAUCUACCUAGUAGUACGGAAUAAUUGUUGGAAACGGCAACUAAUACCGUAUACGCCCUACGGGGGAAAAAUUUAUUGCUAUUAGAUGAGCCUAUAUUAGAUUAGUUAGUUGGUGAGGUAAAGGCUUACCAAGACAAUGAUCUAUAGCUGAUCUGAGAGGAUGAUCAGCCACACUGGAACUGAGAUACGGUCCAGACUCCUACGGGAG